rnacentral:rRNA from 1 species
AUUGAACGCUGGCGGCAGGCCUCACACAUGCAAGUCGAGCGGAGCGGCGGACGGGUGAGUAAUGCCUAGGAAUCUGCAUGGUAGUGGGGGAUAACGUCCGGAAACGGGAGCUAAUACCGCAUACUAUCAGAUGAGCCUAGGUCGGCUUAGCUAGAUGGUGGGGUACAGGCCUACCAAGGCGACGAUCCGUAACUGGUCUGAGCGGAUGAUCAGUCACACUGGAACUGAGACACGGCCCAGACUCCGACGGGAGGCAGCAGUGGGGAAUAGUGGACAAUGGGCGAAAGCCUGAUCCAGCCGUGCCGCGUGUGUGAAGAAGGUCGUCGGAUUGUAAAGCACUGUAAGUUGGGAGGCGUUACCAACAGAAUAAGCACCGGCUAACUUCGUGCCAGCAGCCGCGGUAAUAC